rnacentral:rRNA from 1 species
GAUGAACGCUGGCGGCGUGCCUAAUACAUACAAGUCGAGCGAACAGACGAGGAGCUUGCUCCUCUGACGUUAGCGGCGGACGGGUGAGUAACACGUGGAUAACCUACCUAUAAGACUGGGAUAACUUCGGGAAACCGGAGCUAAUACCGGAUAAUAUAUUGAACCGCAUGGUUCAAUAGUGAAAGACGGUUUUGCUGUCACUUAUAGAUGGAUCCGCGCCGCAUUAGCUAGUUGGUAAGGUAACGGCUUACCAAGGCAACGAUGCGUAGCCGACCUGAGAGGGUGAUCGGCCACACUGGAACUGAGACACGGUCCAGACUCCUACGGUAGGCAGCAGUAGGGAAUCUUCCGCAAUGGGCGAAAGCCUGACGGAGCAACGCCGCGUGAGUGAUGAAGGUCUUCGGAUCGUAAAACUCUGUUAUUAGGGAAGAACAAAUGUGUAAGUAACUAUGCACGUCUUGACGGUACCUAAUCAGAAAGCCACGGCUAACUACGUG